CAUGAUACACUUGUCCAAGGAAUCGUAUUCGACUAUGAGAAUGAUGUUCAGGGCUAUCGCCAGAGGUUUAUAAGAGCUUGGGGCAUGGUGAACAAAGUUGAUAGAAAAACACCGAGGCAUAAGAACUCCAUUCCUUUGGAGCCUUAUCUUAAGUGGGUACAAUCCCGUGCUCAAAAUCUCAGGAUGCCUUAUGAUGCUAAUCUACCCAUCAUCAUGGAGCCCGUUGCUGAAGGAGACACUCCUUACAUUGUUCUUCAUCCUGACAUGCCGACUAAUUUCGAGGAGUUACAAAAAUCCAGGAUUCAACUCAAAGAGGAAGGAGAUACCUUUGAAACCCAAUUCUAC